rnacentral:rRNA from 1 species
UACGGGGGGGAGCAAGCGUUGUUCGGAUUUACUGGGCGUAAAGGGCGCGUAGGCGGUCAGCACAAGUCAGUUGUGAAAUCUCCGGGCUUAACUCGGAAAGGUCAACUGAUACUGUGCGACUAGAGUGCAGAAGGGGCAACUGGAAUUCUCGGUGUAGCGGUGAAAUGCGUAGAUAUUCGGAAGAACACCAGUGGCGAAGGCGGCUCACUGGUCCGGUACUGACGCUGAGGUGCGAAAGCGUGGGGAGCAAACAGG